GAACGCCCCGCAAGGGGAGUGGCAGACGGGUGAGUAACGCGUGGGAACAUACCCUUUGGUUCGGAAUAACUCAGGGAAACUUGAGCUAAUACCGGAUAAGUCCGCGAGGAGAAAGAUUCAUCGCCGAAGGAUUGGCCCGCGUUCGAUUAGCUAGUUGGUGAGGUAACGGCUCACCAAGGCGACGAUCGAUAGCUGGUCUGAGAGGAUGAUCAGCCACAUUGGGACUGAGACACGGCCCAAACUCCUACGGGAGGCAGCAGUGGGGAAUAUUGGACAAUGGGCGAAAGCCUGAUCCAGCCAUGCCGCGUGAGUGAUGACGGCCCUAGGGUUGUAAAGCUCUUUCGUCAGGGACGAUAAUGACGGUACCUGAAGAAGAAGCCCCGGCUAACUUCGUG
rnacentral:rRNA from 1 species